UUAGCGGCGGACGGGUGAGUAACACGUGGGCAACCUGCCCUGUAGACUGGGAUAACUUCGGGAAACCGAAGCUAAUACCGGAUAAUCUUUUGGACCACAUGGUCCGACAGUAAAAGUUGGGUUUUACCUAACACUACAGGAUGGGCCCGCGGCGCAUUAGCUAGUUGGUAAGGUAACGGCUUACCAAGGCGACGAUGCGUAGCCGACCUGAGAGGGUGAUCGGCCACACUGGGACUGAGACACGGCCCAGACUCCUACGGGAGGCAGCAGUAGGGAAUCUUCCGCAAUGGACGAAAGUCUGACGGAGCAACGCCGCGUGAACGAUGAAGGCCUUCGGGUCGUAAAGUUCUGUUGUUAGGGAAGAACAAGUACCGUUCGAAUAGGGCGGUACCUUGACGGUACCUAACGAGAAAGCCACGGCUAACUACGUGCCAGCAGCCGCGGUAAUACGUAGGUGGCAAGCGUUGUCCGGAAUUAUUGGGCGUAAAGCGCGCGCAGGCGGUCUCUUAAGUCUGAUGUGAAAGCCCACGGCUCAACCGUGGAGGGUCAUUGGAAACUGGGAAACUUGAGUGCAGAAGAGGAGAGUGGAAUUCCAUGUGUAGCGGUGAAAUGCGUAGAUAUAUGGAGGAACACCAGUGGCGAAGGCGACUCUCUGGUCUGUAACUGACGCUGAGGCGCGAAAGCGUGGGGAGCAAACAGGAUUAGAUACCCUGGUAGUCCACGCCGUAAACGAUGAGUGCUAGGUGUUAGGGGUUUCGAUGCCCUUAGUGCCGAAGUUAACACAUUAAGCACUCCGCCUGGGGAGUACGACCGCAAGGUUGAAACUCAAAGGAAUUGACGGGGGCCCGCACAAGCAGUGGAGCAUGUGGUUUAAUUCGAAGCAACGCGAAGAACCUUACCAGGUCUUGACAUCCUUUGACAACCCUAGAGAUAGGGCUUUCCCCUUCGGGGGACAAAGUGACAGGUGGUGCAUGGUUGUCGUCAGCUCGUGUCGUGAGAUGUUGGGUUAAGUCCCGCAACGAGCGCAACCCUUGAUCUUAGUUGCCAGCAUUCAGUUGGGCACUCUAAGGUGACUGCCGGUGACAAACCGGAGGAAGGUGGGGAUGACGUCAAAUCAUCAUGCCCCUUAUGACCUGGGCUACACACGUGCUACAAUGGAUGGUACAAAGGGCAGCAAAACCGCGAGGUUGAGCCAAUCCCAUAAAGCCAUUCUCAGUUCGGAUUGUAGGCUGCAACUCGCCUACAUGAAGCCGGAAUUGCUAGUAAUCGCGGAUCAGCAUGCCGCGGUGAAUACGUUCCCGGGCCUUGUACACACCGCCCGUCACACCACGAAGAGUUUGUAACACCCGAAGUCGGUGGGGUAACCUUUUGGAGCCAGCCGCCUAAGGUGGGACAGAUGAUUGGGGUGAA
rnacentral:rRNA from 1 species